rnacentral:rRNA from 1 species
UACGUAGGGCGCAAGCGUUGUCCGGAAUUAUUGGGCGUAAAGAGCUCGUAGGUGGUUUGUCGCGUCUGCCGUGAAAACCCGAGGCUUAACCUCGGGCCUGCGGUGGAUACGGGCAAACUAGAGGUAGGUAGGGGAGAACGGAAUUCCCGGUGUAGCGGUGAAAUGCGCAGAUAUCGGGAGGAACACCGGUGGCGAAGGCGGCGACCUGGGUCGAGACUGACGCUGAGGCGCGAAAGCGUGGGGAGCAAACAGG